CGCUGGCGGCAGGCCUAACACAUGCAAGUCGAACGGUAACAGGAAGCAGCUUGCUGCUUCGCUGACGAGUGGCGGACGGGUGAGUAAUGUCUGGGAAACUGCCUGAUGGAGGGGGAUAACUACUGGAAACGGUGGCUAAUACCGCAUAACGUCGCAAGACCAAAGAGGGGGACCUUCGGGCCUCUUGCCAUCAGAUGUGCCCAGAUGGGAUUAGCUUGUUGGUGAGGUAACGGCUCACCAAGGCGACGAUCCCUAGCUGGUCUGAGAGGAUGACCAGCCACACUGGAACUGAGACACGGUCCAGACUCCUACGGGAGGCAGCAGUGGGGAAUAUUGCACAAUGGGCGCAAGCCUGAUGCAGCCAUGCCGCGUGUAUGAAGAAGGCCUUCGGGUUGUAAAGUACUUUCAGCGGGGAGGAAGGUGUUGUGGUUAAUAACCGCAGCAAUUGACGUUACCCGCAGAAGAAGCACCGGCUAACUCCGUGCCAGCAGCCGCGGUAAUACGGAGGGUGCAAGCGUUAAUCGGAAUUACUGGGCGUAAAGCGCACGCAGGCGGUCUGUCAAGUCGGAUGUGAAAUCCCCGGGCUCAACCUGGGAACUGCAUUCGAAACUGGCAGGCUUGAGUCUUGUAGAGGGGGGUAGAAUUCCAGGUG
rnacentral:rRNA from 1 species